rnacentral:rRNA from 1 species
UACGUAGGGGGCAAGCGUUGUCCGGAAUCAUUGGGCGUAAAGAGCGCGUAGGCGGCCCAGUAAGUCCGCUCUGAAAGUCAGAGGCUCAACCUCUGAAUGCGGGUGGAUACUGCUGGGCUAGAGUCCGGAAGAGGCGAGUGGAAUUCCUGGUGUAGCGGUGAAUGCGCAGAUAUCAGGAGGAACACCAAUUGCGAAGGCAGCUCGCUGGGACGUUACUGACGCUGAGACGCGAAAGCGUGGGGAGCAAACAGG